UACGAAGGGGGCGAGCGUUGUUCGGAUUUACUGGGCGUAAAGGGCGCGCAGGCGGCUCAUUUUGUCAGGCGUGAAAGCCCUGGGCUUAACCUAGGAAUAGCGUUUAAUACUGGAGAGCUAGAGAUUGGUAGAGGGAAAUGGAAUUCCUAGUGUAGAGGUGAAAUUCGUAGAUAUUAGGAAGAACACCAGAGGCGAAGGCGGUUUCCUGGGCCAAUACUGACGCUGAGGCGCGAAAGCGUGGGGAGCAAACAGG
rnacentral:rRNA from 1 species